rnacentral:tRNA from 2 species
GGCUGUAGUUCAGUGGUAGAACUCCACCCUUCCAAGGUGGUCACACGGGUUCGAUUCCCGCCAGCC